rnacentral:rRNA from 1 species
UACGUAGGGUGCGAGCGUUGUCCGGAAUUAUUGGGCGUAAAGGGCUCGUAGGCGGUCUGUCGCGUCGAAAGUGAAAACUCAGGGCUUAACCCCGAGCCUGCUUCUGAUACGGGCAGACUAGAGGUAUGCAGGGGAGAACGAAUUCCUGGUGUAGCGGUGAAAUGCGCAGAUAUCAGGAGGACACCGGUGGCGAAGGCGGUUCUCUGGGCAUUACCUGACGCUGAGGAGCGAAAGUGUGGGGAGCGAACAGG